UGAGUACGAGAUGCUACGGCAUCGAAGCAGUCUAUGUCAUACUUCCAAGAAAAGCUUGCACUGUCAUAAACAAAGAAUGCCUGUACCAUAACCGACACAGGUGGGUAGGUAGAGUAUACUAAGGGGCGCGAGAUAACUCUCUCUAAGGAACUCGGCAAAAUGACUCCGUAACUUCGGGAGAAGGAGUGCCUUAUUUAUAAGGUUGCAAUAACAAGAUCCAAGCAACUGUUUAUCAAAAACACAGGUCUCCGCUAAGUCGUAAGACGAUGUAUGGGGGCUGACGCCUGCCCAGUGCCAGAAGGUUAAAGAAGUUGGUUAGUGUAUGCGAAGCUGAUGACUGAAGCCCUGGUGAACGGCGGCCGUAACAAUAACGGUCCUAAGGUAGCGAAAUUCCUUGUCGGGUAAGUUCCGACCCGCACGAAAGGCGUAAUGAUUUGGAUACUGUCUCGGAGAGAGGCUCGGUGAAAUAGACUUGUCUGUGAAGAUGCGGACUACCUGCACCAGGACAGAAAGACCCUAUGAAGCUUUACUGUAACUUGAAAUUGGAAUUGGACUUUGCUUGCGCAGUAUAGGUGGGAAGCGUUGAAAAUAUUCUUGCGGGAGUAUUGGAGCUAUCAGUGAGAUACCACUCUUGUAAUGUUAGAUUUCUAACUUUGAACCAUAAUCUGGUCAAAGAACAGUUUCAGGUGGGCAGUUUGACUGGGGCGGUCGCCUCCCAAAUGGUAACGGAGGCGUACAAAGGUUUCCUCUGAACGGAUAGAAAUCGUAUCUAGAGUGUAAAGGCAUAAGGAAGCUUGACUGUGAGACCUACAAGUCGAGCAGGGACGAAAGUCGGUCUUAGUGAUCUGACGGUACUGAGUGGAAAGGCCGUCACUCAACGGAUAAAAGUUACUCUAAGGAUAACAGGCUGAUCUCCCCCAAGAGUUCACAUCGACGGGGAGGUUUGGCACCUCGAUGUCGGCUCAUCGCAUCCUGGGGCGGUAGUACGUCCCAAGGGUUGGGCUGUUCGCCCAUGAAAGCGGUACGCGAGCUGGGUUCAGAACGUCGUGAGACAGUUCGGUCCAUAUCCGGUGUAGGCGCUAGAAUAUUGAGAGGAGCCUUCUUUAGUACGAGAGGACCGAGAAGGACACACCGCUGGUGUACCAGUUAUCGUGCCAACGGUAAACGCUGGGUAGCUAUGUGUGGAGUGGAUAACCGCUGAAAGCAUCUAAGUGGGAAGCCCACCUCGAGAUGAGUAUUCUC
rnacentral:rRNA from 1 species